CUCUUCAUUUACUUUAUCUAUCUCUUACUUUAUCUGCAUUUUCUUAAUUAAUUUGUGUGUCCCAUUUUUUUAGUACAUUUCUUUACUCUGUGGCAAUUCUCAAGCUCUAAUUCAUUCAUUAUUGUUGAUUUACUGGUUGAACAUUGGUUUAUGGAGAGUUACUUAUUAUCACUACCACUUUUGGUGCUCAGAGAAAUUAUAACAUUUUACCUUUUGUUUAGAGGGUAUAUUAUGUUCCUUAGUAAGGUUUUAAUGAAGCUCGACUCAUUAUAAGAUUAUAUCAUCUUUUCAAUUAUUUGUUUUUUCUCAAGGUGCAGUCUUGUUGUUGCAUUUCUCAGGUGUUCCUCCUGUCAUACCAGACGGUGAACUGAGGCUCUGAAUCAAGAGGUUUUCAAAUUUCUGGAGCUUUUAUGCUUUAUGUUCUUGAAUUGUGACUUUUGCUGCCUGGUUGUUUAGAAUCUAAUAAACUGAAAAUUGGGUUUGUUAAUAUGAAUAAUAUUAGUAGUGUUGUGGCUUGAUUUGAUGGAUUUAAAAUUACGAUUGGUAUAUGUGAGGAAUAUUUUCCUUAAUUUAAGCUGAAGGAAUCAGAAUUCGAAGGUGACAACGAGCGGAGGACCUCUAGUGCAAAUAUGAGAACACCGAGGGAGUUAGUUGCAAAUGUUUCUAAUAAGGAUGCAUUACAUCUCGACCGUUCAAUGCUUUCAACGGAUGAGAUUAGAUCUCAUCAAAUAUUUCUUAAAACCCCUUUCCACUGCUAUGAGGAAGUUAUUUUAUGGAUUAGUGUCUUUAUAAUUUAUUUUUGGCAGAAUUCUAAUUUAAUAUUGAUUUAUUAUCUGCAACAAAUAAAAGUUUAAAUAUUAUAUUGAGGAAUAUUUAAAAACAACUAUUUUUAAGAGUUCAGAAAUUUAGAAAAAAAAAUAUGUAUUGAUAAUGUUUAGCAUCCAAUAAAUUGAAAAUUGGGUUGCUUAAUAUGAAUAUAUGUAAUUCUUAGCUCAAAGUCUAAAUAUUAUAUUGAGGAAUAUUCAUGUUGGUUAGCAUGAAUAUACUAAUACUAAUGGUAGUGUUGUGCUUUGAUUUGAUGGAUUUAAAAUCAUGAUUGGUGAAUAUUUAGCUCAACCGUUUUCUUUACUUUGAAAACUCUUUCCUACUAUAAAUAAGUGAUCAAGUAAUUAUUAACGAAGCCCAACUAUAUAUCAGCCCAAUUGCAAAGAUCCACUAAUGAAAGAAAUGGAUCCACGCCUUAAUUAAAAGAUCCAAUAAACAUAAAUUAAACCCACAAAUUAUGAGGCCCAACAGUACUUCAAUUUCAUGUUAUAAAAUCAACUCAAAGCCCAAUCAAUUAGUACUCCUCAACCAUAUAAAAGUAUUCCUCUCUAAAUGACACGGAUUUUAAUAAAUUAGUUGAAUGUGUUGUGACUUGUGAGUGGACUGUAAGGGUCCCACUUUAAUGUAAGUAGAAAACUUACAAAAAAUAGACCGGAUACAUUUUAUGAGGACGAACGAAAAUGACAAAUUGGAUACAUUUUAUGAGGACGAAGGGAGUAUAUGUUGUUAUCAUACCUUAAUAUGUAUAUGUUUGAAAAUUCAGUAUGAUCGCUGGAUCUUUAAAAAAUUUAUAAUAAAACUUUUAUAAAUUAAUAACUUCGGGACCUUAGAAUUUUAUCUAUAAAUUAAUAAUUUAUUAAUAUAUCGAUAAAUUUUAAAGAUGUUUACUGUAGUUAUAGAAUUAAAUAGAUCAAAUGCUAAUUAAAAAAAUUUAAUAUACUACACCGACGAUGCCCGGUGAAAAUCGAUCGAUCGACAAAGUGAGAUAUGACAGACCACCGACGGUGAGGUCAGUGUCCACAUAAUCAGUAAAAAAUUUACCAAGGAAUUUUUGCUGUCGUCGGUGAUCAUUGAUGGCCUUCCGGACAAAUAGUUCAUCGUUUUAUCUACUGACGUCGCCGGAGUGGGCCAGCGAUUUUACUGAUGAAUACAAAUGUAUGUAAUUGAAAAUACAUCACUGGUUCAAAAGGAUUACCAAAACUCAUCAUCCCAUCCAAGGGCUUCUUCCAUUGUCACGGGAAUCUAUUUCAUUGAUCUUGUUGCUCUAUUAAUAUAACCCCAAUAUUAAGUAAUAAGGUUUUAAGAUAAUGAGGCAUAAUUCCAAGUAAAGCAACUUAACAUUGCAAUACAAUGAAUUUAGACAAAAAUAUAACCUCAUUAGCCAACUACUAAUCAUAAUCAACCCAAUAGCUAAAAUCAUUAUUGAAACAAAAACUCAACCUUUACUAGAGAACCAAAAGCAGGCAAACAAACCAAGAAAUGCAGCAACUGAUGCUCCAACUGAUGCCACGUCAAUUUCGCAUUUAGGGAAAACACUCAUAGUGGGAAGAAUCAGAAAAUAAGUAAAGGUGAUGUAUUAUGAAACAGAUUUUAAAAAUGGCGUGCAAUUUUAGAAUUUGGUAAAACUUUGUGUAUUCAGGGACAAUUAACCCACGUAUAUUAACAAUAUAUGUUUUGUAAUUCUAUUUUUAUUGUCAUCUUAUUAUCUUCUCAGACCACUCCACUAAAGGUAAGGAGCACAAAUACAAUUAAAAUCAAAAGUGCUGCAACCACUCCACUAAUAAAGGUAAAGAGCACAAAUACCAUUAAAUCAAAAGGACACACUGAAAAGCAACUAAAGCGAUAAAUAUUGAUUUCUUAGUUUGAACUUUAACUACUUUUCAUUGAAUGGGCGAGAAUCAUUGAAUGAAAAAGAAGAAGAAGAAGACAAGGUAGAAACACAAUAAUGAGUUGGUUCUUUCUCAGAAGCUAAACUACUUUCACUCUUUUCUCAUACAACUCUCCAAGUCCUAAUUUCUCUGUUCCGGAAUAAAAAUUCUUUGCAAUCUCCAUUGAAGAAUUUGUGUUCACCACAACGAGUUCCUCAUCCUUAUUCCUCUCUAUAUAUACUCUCACCAAUAGUAAAUCAAUUUGACCAAAGAAAUUCGAGUUUGGAAUUGUUGCGAUGGCAGAAGCAGUGGUGUCGACUGCUCUGGAAACCCUGCGCGAUUUGUUGUUGGAAGAAGCAAGGUUUUUAUAUGGUGUGGGCGAUGAAGUGAAGGAGCUCGAGUGGCAGCUCAAAGAGAUGAAGUGUCUUCUCGAAGACGCCGACAAAAGGCGACAUGAAAGCAAAACCAUUCUCAAUUGGAUCUCAGAGAUCAGAGAUCUUGUAUACAGAGCCGAAGCUGCCAUUGAAAGACACGCAGCUUAUCAAGUGACUUCAAGGAGAAGACGAGGCCUCAAACAGCUCCUCCGCAGAUGUAGUUUGGAAGAAUACAAGUCGAUCCACCAAUUAGGCUCGGAGAUUUCACCGAUCAAAUCCCGACUUGAAAGGAUAAACAAGGAAAUGUUAGAAAGUGGCAUAAAGAAGAGCAUCAUCAACAAUACAGAUGAAGGGGAAAGCUCGUCCGCCAACAACAGGGCAAGGAAGAGCUUCCCCGAAUUCGAGAUCGGAGACUGUUUUGUGGGAAUGAAGGACGAGCUCAAGCAGCUUCUUCAUCUCCUAGUGGAAGACGAAAAGCAUCGAGUAAUUUCAGUGUGGGGAAUGGGGGGAUCAGGCAAGACCACCAUUGCCAAAAAGCUCUACAACGAGACAAACACCAGCUUUGAUCUUUGCGCAUGGGUUUGCAUUAGUCAGCAAUGUCAGAGCUUUCAAUCAGUUUGGAAUGAUGUUCUCAUGCAGCUACAGCAUCAAAACACGAAGGAUGGGCCAAAAAUAGGGAGGAUGUUACAAGUUUGAGCGAGUGGGAGUUGAAGGAGCGACUAUGCAAGAACAAAGAGAGAAGCGAUGUCUCAUUGUUUUUGACGAUCUUUGGAAAGUUUCUGAUUGGGAUGGCUUCAAGCAUCCCUUCCUUGUCCAAGAUUUGCAGAGCAAAAUCUUGAUCACCACGCGCGAACGGGAAGUCGCGGAGAUUGGAUGCCCUGUCAAACUUGGGCUUCUAAAAGAGGAAGAUGCUUUGGAACUACUCAAGAAGAAAGCAUUUCCCCACACCAACAUUCCAGGUUAGUUAGGAUUUGACUUCUAGUCUACAAAUAAUAUUCUAGAUUUACCUGCUUGUAGUUUCUUUUUUGCAUCAUCGGUUCCAAAUUAGAUGAGAGGAUAUGAUUAAGUUAUAAAGUUACUAUUCAAGUAAUUGUCAUUUGUUUUUCAAUGCAGAGUUUGCAUUGGAAGAAAAUGUUGAGAAAAUUGGGAAAGAAAUGGUGAAAAAAUGUGGGUAUUUGCCGUUGGCAAUUUGUUUACUCGGUGGGGUCUUGAGAAAGACAAAUUCGAUGAUGGAGUGGAAGUUAGUCAAAGAAUUCAUAUAUAGAGAUGAAAAGGAGAUUGAUGGAGUGCUAAAUUUAAGCUAUGAAAGUCUACCCUAUUAUUUGAAGUCAUGCUUUCUCUAUAUGGGUAUAUUUCAAGAGGAUGAAGAUAUAAAUGCUGACGAUCUAUAUAUGAUGUGGAUAGCACAAGGCAUGAUUUCUAUUGGAGACAAGGACAAAACUUUGAUGGAAAUUGCAGAGCUCUACUUGGGUGAGUUGGCCUCCAGGUCCAUCAUCCAAGUCGAAAUUUACGAUGGUGUCACACCUGGAAGAAAAUAUAGGAGCUGCAAACUUCAUGGAACCUGAGGAACUUACACUCACUUGGGGAGAAGAUAGUAGCGAACAUUUAAGGUCUCUUCAAAUGUUCAAUCACAUAAAUUCGGGUGUUGAUGUUGAGUAUCCCCCGCAAGGUAUCGUUGAUUUUCAGAAAUUCAAAUUGCUGAGAGAUCUAGGUAUGGUGGGAUUCAAAUUUGAAGGAAGAAAGUUAUCGAAAGGAAUCACUAGUCUUGUUCACCUUAGACGUUUGUGUUUAGAAAGAUGUGAAUUUGAUAAGCUACCAUCGUCCAUAAGGGAUUUGGUAUACAUGGAUACCCUUGAUUUAACUGAUUCGAUGAAUGUUGGAGUUCCAAAUGGUUUUAAGGAGAUGGUACGUUUAAAGCACUUGUUUCUUCCCAAUUAUGAUGAGGAAAAAAUUGGAAGUUAUCGAUUGACAUUGGACGAGGGAGUGAUUGAGUUGGAGACCCUGUGGAAUUUGGAUAGUCGAGUGCAUGACUUAAAAUGUAUGAACAGAAUGAAGAAUCUGCGAACUUUCUCAACAAAAAUAUACGACAACGAAAGCUUGUCAGCCAACAUCGACGCGAUUGCUCUCAUGGAAAAGUUACUGUAUUGUUGGGUUGGAAUCAAAAAGGGUUGCGAGUUAGGAACAAAUAAGGGAGUGUUAACGCUGAAGAAGGUAAUCACAUGUCCCAAUCUUCAUGCCUUGAGGAUUCAAGUUAAGUUAGGGAAGGCGCUGGCAAAGUGCGGGAGUGACUUCAUCAGUUCAAAACUUAUAACUUUGGUCCUGUCAAAAUGUGAGAUUGAGGAUGAUCCAAUGGGGAUACUGGGGAAGCUUCCUUGCUUGAUAUAUUUGCAGUUAUGGAGGAAAUCAUUUGUGGGGGAGGAGAUGACGUGUCCAUCAAACAGUUUUCCUAGCCUCAAGGAGCUUGCGCUAUAUCAAUUACCAAAGUUGAGGGAGUGGAGAGUGGAGGCAGGAGCCAUGCCCCUUCUCUCUGAAUUGAAGAUCUAUUAUUGUUCCAGUCUGAAGAUGCUUGCAGAUGGUUUGAGUGGCAUUUCUACUCUUCGGAAACUGGAGAUUGGUGGAAUGGCGGAAAUGGGGAAGAGGGUAUCGGCAUCAGGAGAGGAUUUCCACAAAGUCACCCAUGUCCCUUCAAUUAUCAUCCAAAACUAUUGAUGAUGACUAACUAAUCUAGUCUCCACCCGGGUAAUGCUUGCACCAAUCUCAUUCUCAAUUCCCAAUUCUGUUNNNNNNNNNNNNNNNNNNNNNNNNNNNNNNNNNNNNNNNNNNNNNNNNNNNNNNNNNNNNNNNNNNNNNNNNNNNNNNNNNNNNNNNNNNNNNNNNNNNNNNNNNNNNNNNNNNNNNNNNNNNNNNNNNNNNNNNNNNNNNNNNNNNNNNNNNNNNNNNNNNNNNNNNNNNNNNNNNNNNNNNNNNNNNNNNNNNNNNNNNNNNNNNNNNNNNNNNNNNNNNNNNNNNNNNNNNNNNNNNNNNNNNNNNNNNNNNNNNNNNNNNNNNNNNNNNNNNNNNNNNNNNNNNNNNNNNNNNNNNNNNNNNNNNNNNNNNNNNNNNNNNNNNNNNNNNNNNNNNNNNNNNNNNNNNNNNNNNNNNNNNNNNNNNNNNNNNNNNNNNNNNNNNNNNNNNNNNNNNNNNNNNNNNNNNNNNNNNNNNNNNNNNNNNNNNNNNNNNNNNNNNNNNNNNNNNNNNNNNNNNNNNNNNNNNNNNNNNNNNNNNNNNNNNNNNNNNNNNNNNNNNNNNNNNNNNNNNNNNNNNNNNNNNNNNNNNNNNNNNNNNNNNNNNNNNNNNNNNNNNNNNNNNNNNNNNNNNNNNNNNNNNNNNNNNNNNNNNNNNNNNNNNNNNNNNNNNNNNNNNNNNNNNNNNNNNNNNNNNNNNNNNNNNNNNNNNNNNNNNNNNNNNNNNNNNNNNNNNNNNNNNNNNNNNNNNNNNNNNNNNNNNNNNNNNNNNNNNNNNNNNNNNNNNNNNNNNNNNNNNNNNNNNNNNNNNNNNNNNNNNNNNNNNNNNNNNNNNNNNNNNNNNNNNNNNNNNNNNNNNNNNNNNNNNNNNNNNNNNNNNNNNNNNNNNNNNNNNNNNNNNNNNNNNNNNNNNNNNNNNNNNNNNNNNNNNNNNNNNNNNNNNNNNNNNNNNNNNNNNNNNNNNNNNNNNNNNNNNNNNNNNNNNNNNNNNNNNNNNNNNNNNNNNNNNNNNNNNNNNNNNNNNNNNNNNNNNNNNNNNNNNNNNNNNNNNNNNNNNNNNNNNNNNNNNNNNNNNNNNNNNNNNNNNNNNNNNNNNNNNNNNNNNNNNNNNNNNNNNNNNNNNNNNNNNNNNNNNNNNNNNNNNNNNNNNNNNNNNNNNNNNNNNNNNNNNNNNNNNNNNNNNNNNNNNNNNNNNNNNNNNNNNNNNNNNNNNNNNNNNNNNNNNNNNNNNNNNNNNNNNNNNNNNNNNNNNNNNNNNNNNNNNNNNNNNNNNNNNNNNNNNNNNNNNNNNNNNNNNNNNNNNNNNNNNNNNNNNNNNNNNNNNNNNNNNNNNNNNNNNNNNNNNNNNNNNNNNNNNNNNNNNNNNNNNNNNNNNNNNNNNNNNNNNNNNNNNNNNNNNNNNNNNNNNNNNNNNNNNNNNNNNNNNNNNNNNNNNNNNNNNNNNNNNNNNNNNNNNNNNNNNNNNNNNNNNNNNNNNNNNNNNNNNNNNNNNNNNNNNNNNNNNNNNNNNNNNNNNNNNNNNNNNNNNNNNNNNNNNNNNNNNNNNNNNNNNNNNNNNNNNNNNNNNNNNNNNNNNNNNNNNNNNNNNNNNNNNNNNNNNNNNNNNNNNNNNNNNNNNNNNNNNNNNNNNNNNNNNNNNNNNNNNNNNNNNNNNNNNNNNNNNNNNNNNNNNNNNNNNNNNNNNNNNNNNNNNNNNNNNNNNNNNNNNNNNNNNNNNNNNNNNNNNNNNNNNNNNNNNNNNNNNNNNNNNNNNNNNNNNNNNNNNNNNNNNNNNNNNNNNNNNNNNNNNNNNNNNNNNNNNNNNNNNNNNNNNNNNNNNNNNNNNNNNNNNNNNNNNNNNNNNNNNNNNNNNNNNNNNNNNNNNNNNNNNNNNNNNNNNNNNNNNNNNNNNNNNNNNNNNNNNNNNNNNNNNNNNNNNNNNNNNNNNNNNNNNNNNNNNNNNNNNNNNNNNNNNNNNNNNNNNNNNNNNNNNNNNNNNNAAAUUGCCGAGCUCUACUUGGGUGAGUUGGCCUCCAGUUCCGUCGUCCAACUUCAAAUUAGUUACGGCAAUGCUGUCACAAGUGGAAGAAAAUAUAGGAGCUGCGAACUUCAUGAUGUAGUAAGAGAACUAUGUUUGAAAUUGGGGAGAAGUGAGGAUUUUGGUGCGCAGAGUUUGGAGUAUCAAAGUGGGAAAGCUUCCUCGCAUAGGAAAAUACGGCAUUUGGCUAUACAUUUCAGGAAGGAAGUUCAAGUGGAACCUGACGAGCUUACACUCACUUGGGGAGAAGAUAGUACUGAACAUUUAAGGUUUCUUCAAAUGUUCAGUCACAUAAAUUCGGGUGUUGUUGAGUUUCCCCCGCAAGGUAUUGUUGAUUUUCAUAAAUUCAAAUUGCUGAGAGAUCUAGGUAUGGUGGGAUUCAAAUUUGAAGGAAGAAAGUUAUCGAAAGGAAUCACUAGUCUUGUUCAUCUUAGACGUUUGUGUUUAGAAAGAUGUGAAUUUGAUACGCUACCAUCGUCCAUAAGGAAUUUGGUAUACAUGGACACCCUUUAUUUAAGUUUUUCGAAGAAUGUUGAAGUUCCAAAUGUUUUUAAGGAGAUGGUACGUUUAAAACACUUGUUUCUUCCCGAUUAUGAUGAGGAAAAAAUUGGAAGUUAUCGAUUGACAUUGGAUGAGGGAGUGAUUGAGUUGGAGACCUUGUGGAAUUUGGAUAGUAGAGUGCAUGAUUUAAAAUGUAUGAACAGAAUGAAGAAUCUGCGAAGUUUCAAAACAAAAAUAUACGACAAUGAAAGCUUGUCAGCCAACAUCAACGCCAUUGCUCUCAUGGAAAAGUUACAGCGUUGUUGGGUUGGAAUCAAAGAGGGUUGCGAGUUAGGAACAAAUGAGGGAGUGUUAACGCUGAAGAAGGUAAUCACAUGUCCCAAUCUUCAUUCCUUGCGGAUUCACGUUAAGUUAGGGAAGGCGCUGGCAGAGUGCGGGAGUGACUUCAUGAUGAGCUCAAGACUUACGUUUUUGUGGAUGUAUGAAUGUGAGAUUGAGGAUGAUCCAAUGGGGAUACUGGGGAAGCUUCCUUGCUUGAUACAUUUGUAUUUAUGGAAGAAAUCAUUUGUGGGGGAGGAGAUGACGUGUCCAUCAAACAGUUUUUCUCGCCUCAAGAAUCUUAUUAUAUCAAAGUUACCGAAGUUGAGGGAGUGGAGAGUGGAGGCAGGAGCCAUGCCCCUUCUCUCUGAAUUGGAGAUCUAUCAUUGUUCCAGUCUGAAGAUGCUUCCAGAUGGUUUGAGUGGCAUUUCUACUCUUCGGAAACUGGAGAUUACUGGAAUGGCGGAAAUGGGGAAGAGGGUAUCGGCAUCAGGAGAGGAUUUCCACAAAGUCAACCAUAUCCCUUCAAUUAUCAUCCGAGACUAAAUGAUGACUAACUAAUCUAGUCUCCACCCGGGUAAUGCUUGCACCAAUCUCAUUCUCAAUUCCCAAUUAUGUUGCUUCAAUUGUAGUUUUUCUCUAAAGCUAGAUAGGUAUCUCGAUAAGGUUUUAACUAUAAAGCUCCACGCAUUCUAAACUUGUAUCGUCUUGGUUUUGGUUGCAGGGUACUUUUCUCCCAAGUGUUCCAUGUCCCAAGUGUUUCUCUUUAAUUAUUUGCAUUCUUUUCUCUGCAACCUUGUCUCGCUUUAAUCACUUUCUUUCAAAUAAAUGUGUAUAUUUCUUUUGUACAUGGGCAUGGUGGCCAUAUAUAUUCCAUUCCUUGUAUUAUUAAUCUGGACAAUUUAUUCUAGAGUUAUUUUGGUAAGAUUCGGCCCAUGAGCCUUUGCUUGUAAUUUCUGCAGAUUUAAGCUUUAUUUCUGUUCUUGAAUUGUGCUUUUUGUUGCUUGGUUGUGUAGAAUCCAAUAAAUUGAAAUUGUGUUGCUUAAUAUAUACGAAUAUACUGUACUAAGCAAGCAAAAUUAGAAAAAUUGGCUUAGGUUGAAGAUAUUGUUGAAGGAAAUUAGGUUGAAGAUAUUGUUCAUAAUUUGAUUUAAACCGUAAAUCAAAUCAAACCAAACCGUAUUUAUGUGGUUUGGUUUAAUUUGUUUACGGUUUGAAAAAUAUGGUUUGGUUUAUAUUUUUGCAAAAAUAUGGUUUAUGGUUUUUUUUAAAAAUUAUAGACCAAACCGUAUAUUUAAACCAAUUAUUAUUAUUAUUAUUAUUAUUAUUAUUAUUAUUAUUAUUAUUAUUAUUAUUAUUAUUAUUAUUAUUAUUAUUAUUAUUAUUCAAGUAUAUUUUGAAAGUUUAAUAAAAUUAUAUAAUAUUCCUAUCCGUUAAAGUCUUUAAUUACAUAUCAUCACACAAUAAGCUUACUUUUCUUAAACUUAAUUCUUAACCCCUAAUUUAUUUGUUUAGAUGGAUGCUAGAACCUCGACAAACAUGAAUAAUAUGGAGAAAAGACAUGCUUAAGAUUUAGUUUUGAUGCAUAUUAAAUGUCUUUUUAGUAUGUACUAACUUUUUUUUUUAUCAUUUUCUUCAAUGUUAUUUUAUUUUUAUUAAUUUUGAAGACCUUAGAUGUUUGAUUUUUUAUUACUCUAAAAUAUAAAAAUAAAAAAUAUAAAUAAAUCGCAAACCAAACCGCAUCAAACUGCAUUAAUACAGUUUGGUUUGGUUUGGUUUUAAUAUUAAUACGGUUUGGUUUGGUUUCAAAAUAUUAUAAAACUGUAUUUUAUGGUUUAAUUGGUUUGGUUUUGAUGCCAAACCGCAUCAAACCAAACCGCGAACACCCCUAUGUACGAAGAUCCAUUCUGGAUCGAACCACGUAAUUUCGAGUGCGUGUGAUUUCCAUUUUGUUUCUAUUUCGAUUCGUCGUGUUCUCGUGGUUGAAGCCCAACCACUUAUCAGCCCAAUAACAAAUAUGAGCCCAACCCAAUUUCUUUCUCUGUUUUCUUUCUUUAAAACCUUAUCUCUUUCAUCUUCGAUCCACGUUGAAAGAAAUUGAUCCAUACCUUAAUUAAAAGACCCAACAAACAGAAAUUCAGCCCGUAAACUAUCAGGCCCAACAACACAUCAAUUUCAUGUUAUAAAACCGAAAUCAAAAGCCCAAUCUGAUUAACUCGUAUUUAACCCAUUUUAAGUAUGGCAGCUAAACUACUUUCACUCUUUUCUCAUACAACUCUCCAAGUCCUAAUUUCUCUGUUCUGGAAUAAAAAUUCUUCGCAAUCUCCUUUGAAGAAUUUGUAUUCACCACAACGAGUUCCUCAUCCUUAUUCCUCUCUAUAUAUACUCUCAUCUCACCAAUGGUAAAUCAAUUUGAUCAAAGAAAUUCGAGUUUGGAAUUGUUGCGAUGGCAGAAGCAGUGGUGUCGACUGCUCUAGAUUAAUAUUGAUGUGGUGUUUAUAUUUUUAUACACGUUUUUUUAUGAUAUUAUCAAUCUCUUUCACACUUAAUAUUUUAAAAAAAUUAUCUAACAAAUCAUUUAAAAAUUACUCCCUCCGUCAACGAAAAUAUGGCCUAAAGGAUGGUGACACAAGUUUUAAGAAAACUUGUAUUGUUUAUUUAAUUAGUGGAGAAAAGGUUUAUAAAUUUAAAAAAAAAUGAAAAAAUUAAUUAAGUCAGUGAGUAGGAAAGGGGCCCGCAAGCUAGUCAAGUAAUUGCUAAAAAUAAGUUAUAAGUAACAUAUUUUUAUGGACAGACCAAAAUGCUAAAUUAAAUCAUAUUUUCGUGAACGAAAGGAGGAGUAAACAACAAAUUAACUUUAAUUUGUUAUUUUUUCACUUUAUACAAUCUUUUAACUAUUUUGUCGGUAUACUAUACUUUUGGUGUACCGACAAAUGAUUUACUAAUAUGUAUUUACUAUUGGUGAAGGAUUUACUAUACUUUAGACCACAUGCUCCUUAUCCUUUUUCCUUCACUAAUUUCCUUCACUCUCACCACUACCAAAUCAACACUGUUCCACCAAUCAAUUAAGCCAAAGAAAUCUGAGCUUGAAUUCUCUCAAAUUGUUGCAAUGGCAGAAGCAGUGGUGUCGAUUGCUUUAGAAACCUUGCGCGAUUUGUUGAAGGAAGAAGUUCAAUUUUUAUCUGGUGUGGGUGACGAAGUGAGGGAGCUCGAGAUCCAGCUCAAAGAGAUGAAGUGUCUUCUCCAAGAUGCCGACAGAAGACGACAUGAAAAUGAAACCAUUUUCAAUUGGAUCUCAGAGAUCAAAGAUCUUGUGUACAGAGCCGAAGCUGCCAUUGAAAGACACGCAGCUUAUCAAGUGUUGGCAAGGAGAAGACGAGGCCGAGGCCUGAGACAGCUCAUCUGCAGAUAUUCUUGUAUUUUGGAAGAAUUCAACUCGCUCCACCAACUAGGCUCCCAGAUUUCAAAAAUCAAAUCCGAUCUUGGAAGAGUCACCGAAGCCAUGCGAGCCUACGGAAUAAAUAAGAUCAUCGAUAGUGGGGAAAGCUCGGCUGCCGCCGACAACAACAGGGCAAGGAAGAGUUUCCCCGAAUUCGAGAUCGGAGAGUGUUUUGUGGGGAUGAAGGACGAGCUCAAGCAGCUUUAUCUCCUAGUGAAGACAAGACGAGUAUUUCAGUGUGGGGAAUGGGGGGAUCAGGCAAGACCACCAUUGCCAAAAAGCUCUACAACGAGACAACCAGUUUGAUCUUUCGCAUGGGUUUGCAUAUCAGCAAUGUCAGAGUUUUCAAUCAGUUUGGAAUGAUGUUCUCAUGCAGCUACAGCAUCAAACAGCGUAAGGAUGGCCAACAAAUAAGGGAGGACGUGUUCAAGUUGAGCGAGUGGGGAGUUGAAGGACGACUAUGCAAAAUACAAAAGAAAGCGAUGCCUCAUUGUUUGACGAUCUUUGGGAAAUUGCUAUUGGAUGUUAAGCAUCCCUUCCUUGUCAGAUUUGAACAAAAUUUAUCACCACGCGCGAACGGAAGUUGCAGAGAUUGGAUGCCCAGUAAAAGUUGGGCUUCUAAAAGAGGAAGAUGCUUUGGAACUACUCAAGAUGAAAGCCUUUCCACAUACCAACAUUCCAGGUCAGUUGUGUGUAUGUAUAAUAUGGUGCUUUAGUUUAUAUAUUACAUGAAUAUGACUUCUAGUCUACAAAUUAAAUUCUAAAAGAUUUACCGGCUGGUAGUUUCUUUCCUUGCACCAUCGAUUCCAAAUUAGAUGACAGGUAUAAUUAAGUUAUAAAGUUGUAGCACUAUUCAAUUAAUUGCCAUUUGUUAUUUCAAUACAGACUUUGCAUCCGAAGAAAAUUUUAAGAAAAUUGGGAAAGAAAUGUGGGUAUUUGCCGUUGGCAAUUUCUUUACUCGGUGGGGUCAUGAGAAUGAAAAAUUUGAUGGAGUGGGAGUUAGUAAAUGAGGAUAUAAAAAAAUACAUAUAUAGACAUGAAAAGGAGAUUGAUGGAGUGCUAAACUUAAGCUAUGAAAGUUUACCCUAUUAUUUGAAGCCUUGUUUUCUCUAUAUGGGUUUAUUUCAAGAGGACGAAGAUAUAUAUGUUGAGCAUCUAUAUACGAUGUGGAUAGCACAGGGCAUGAUUUCAUAUGAGAAUAUCCAAGACAAGGACAAAACUUUGAUGGAUAUCGCAGAGCUCUACUUGGGUGAGUUGGCCUCCAGGUCCAUCGUCCAAGUUGAAAUUGACGAUGGUCUCAGAUAUAUAGGAAAAUAUACAAGAUGCAAACUUCAUGAUGUAAUAAGAGAACUAUGUUUGAAAUUGGGGAAAAUGGAGGAUUUUGGUGUGCUGAAUUUGGAGUAUCAAAGUGGGAAACUUACUACCUUACUACCGCAUAUGAAAAUACGACAUUUGGCUAUCUAUUUCAGAAGAGAAGUUGAACCAGACGAGCUUGGAGAAGAUAGUUGCAAACAUUUGAGGUCACUUCAAAUAUUUAAUCCCAUUUCUACUAUUGAGUUUCCCCCACAAAGUAUCAUUGAUUUUCAGAAAUUCAAAUUGCUGAGAGAUCUGGUUAUGGUGGGAUUCGAAUUUCCAGGAAGAAAGUUACCUAAAGAAAUCACUAAUCUUGUACACCUAAGACGUUUGCGUUUACAUAGAUGUGAAUUUGAUAAACUACCGUCUUCCAUAAGGAAUUUGGUAUACCUGGAUACCCUUUAUUUAUUUGGUUCGUAUAAUAUCGAAGUUUCAAAUAUUUCUAAGAAGAUGUUGCGUUUAAAACACUUGGGUCUUCCCAAGUAUGAUGAGGAAAAUGUUGGAAGUUAUAGAUCAAUAUUGGAUGAGGGAGUUGCUGAGUUGGAGAGCCUAUGGCAGUUGGAUAGUAGAGUGUAUGAAUUAAAAUGUAUGAACAGAAUGAAGAGCUUGCGACGUUUCUCAACAAUGAUACACGACAAUGACAGCUUGUCAGCCAUCAUCGACGCCAUUGCUACCAAGUGGAACAAGUUAGUGUUUUGUAGGGUUGAAAUCAAACCGGGCUGCAAGCUAGGAACAAAUGAGGGAAUGCUGAAGAAGACAUUUACAUGCCCCAAUCUUCAUCACUUGUCGAUUUAUGUUAAGUUAGGGAAGGCGCUGCCAGAGUGGGGGGGUACGUUCAUGAUGAGCUAAACUUCGAGUUUGAGGCUGUAUGAAUGUGAGAUUGAGGAUGAUCCAAUGGGGAUACGUGGGGAANCAUGAUGAGCUCAAAACUUACGAGUUUGAGGCUGUAUGAAUGUGAGAUUGAGGAUGAUCCAAUGGGGAUACUGGGGAACCUUCCUUGCUUGACAUAUUUGUCUUUAUACUGGGAAUCAUUUGUUGGGGAGGAGAUGACGUGUCCAUCAAACAGUUUUCCUCGCCUCAAGAAUCUUCGUAUAUCAGAGGUUUUAAAGUUGAGGGAGUGGAGAGUGGAGGCAGGAGCCAUGCCCCUUCUCUCUCAAUUACUGAUUUCCUAUUGUGAUAGUCUGGAGAUGAUUCCAGACGGAUUGAGUGGCAUUUCUACUCUUCGGGAACUGAAGAUUUAUGGAAUGCCGGAAUUGGGGAAGAGGAUAUCGGCAUCAGGAGAGGAUUUUCACAAAGUCACCCAUGCCCCUUCAAUUAUCAUCCGAGACUAGUCUCCACCCACCCACGUAAGGUAACUCAUUUCUUGCAUUUUCAAUUUUAGUUUUUAAUAUUAUAUGUAUAUUCACCAUAUUUAACCCUUGUAAUUACCAAGCUGGCAGAAAGCAUCGUUUCAUUUGAGGUUUUCAAUAAAUUGCAAAGUUUUGGAUAGUUAACCACAUAACAAUUAAAAGCAUUUGUGUUUGUUCUUAUAUAUUUUUCAUUUCGUUAUGUCAAACUACUUGCCACGAUGCCAUAAAACCAAAACAAAUGUUUCCUUCUACUAUUUUUCUUGCCCAUGACCAUCUCAUCUCAUUAAUCUAACUCAAUUCUAAAUUUCUAAAUGAGAAUUAAAAAGGAUAGUAAAUUAUAAAAGGACAGUACUGAAUCAUUACACAAUGUUGACUAAUUAGAAAAAAUAAUUGAUUUUUGAUAAGUACGUACUAAAUUUUGUCUAAUAAAGCUCCCACAAUGCAUUAUUUUUCAGUUUUGCAAUAAACAUAUUUUGUCUACUAUCAUAAAAUUAUAAUAUAUGCAUCCUCAAACUCUAAUUCUGUCAUUAUGUUUGUAAGAGAACUCUUUUGUAUAACUGUUGAUUACAGGUUGAGCAUUGGUUUUGUGGAGAGUAACUGAUUAUCACUACUACUUUUGGUGCUCAAACAAAACAUUUUACCUUAUAUUCUUGGUGAGAUUUUAAUGUAGUGCAACUCAUUGUAAGGUUGUAUCGCUUUUUUUCUUUAUAUAUUUAUAUAUAGUUUUUUAAUUUGUGUGAUGCAGGUUAAAUUUCUUCCCCUUCGAGGUGCAGUCUUGUUGUUGCAAUUCUCAAGUGUUCAUCUUUGAACAGCAAAAAAGAUAUACUAGUAUUCCUUAGUAUGUUUAUGUGUGUGUGAGGGAUUGUAUAGAAUCUAUAAGUAAUUCAGUUGUGUUUGUGAAUAUGAUAUUCUAUAUUCGAAGUGCUAUUCUGUUUGAAUUGAAUUUGACGGUUUGUAAUGACUCAAAUGUACAACUCAAUAUGUUAAUAUUGAGUACAUAAUAAUAGAAUACAAAAUAAGGUUCAAUUAAAAAUUUAUGCUACAUUACCUCAUAAAAAAAAAAUAUGCUACAUUUAAGGUAGGGCCGGAUGAGUAAUUUAAAUAAGCCCAACUCAAUUCAUUAAUGAAGCCCGGCUACUUAUCAGCCCAAUUGCAAAGAUGAGCCCAACCCAAUAUCUUUCGAUAAAUCCUCAUCUCUUUCAUCUUCGGCCCACUCUGAAAUAAAUGGACCCAUAAUUAACAGAUCCAACCAACACAAAUUCAGCCCACAAAUUCCCAGGCCCAACAGCACUUCUCAUGUUAUAAAACAGAACUCAAAACUCCAAUCUGAUUAACUCUUAUGCAAGUUUAAUCCAUUUGAAAAAAUCGCAUAAUAUAUAUGAUGAUGUCGAGAAAUGAAAUACAGUCGAGAAUAUUGAUGAUCCAUUUUAAUAUCAAGCGACUUCAUGAUCGUGAGGUGUGUGUUGGUGAGAGAUGUAGUUUAAUCCCAAAUCUCCCUCUCUAAGCUAAACAUACAUUAUCAAAGUUAUAAUAUGUAGAGUUCAUUAUUAAGGAUGGAGCAUGUUUGGUGAUGGUAUUAGUGUUGAUAUGUGCUCAAUAUUUUGCUUAUGAAAUGUCACGAAUAAUCCUAAUUUAGCUAAGGGGGCAAUGCCCUUCGAAAUGCACUCAACUUUGUCAUUUAUGAGUGUAUUUUUCGGCUUUUGGUUAAUACGUUUCACCUAAUUGAACACAUUUAAAUUGUCUAACAUUUGACAAUAUUAAAUCCGUAGCACUGUCACAUAUCGUUAUCUAUAUUUGAAUAGAUAAUGUCACACAAAUUGACAAUAAAAAAUAACAAUUCAGAGGUUCCACAAUUAACUAACCUUGUCUUAAUCGUCAUUUAAGUCGAAGUCUUAACAACUUUUAUUUGGCUGAAUAAUUCUUAUUAUCACAUGCAACUAAUCCACUAAAGGUCAUGAGCACAAAUGAUAUAUAAUCAAAGGACAGACUGCAAAGCAUCUUUUGUUAUAACUUAGCUGCAAGUUGGAUAUAUUUUACAGCAAUAAACUAAUUAUAAUAAUUAACAAAAAGACAAGUUGCUUUCUGUUUCAAAGUCGAUAGAAGCAAAUAAAUAUUGAUUCCUUAUAAUUUGAAUUUUAAUUACUCUUCAACAACUAAUAGUAGGUAUGUAUGAACACAAGAAUAAUGGUGUAUAAAAAUAAUUAAAUAACCUGUCAUAAUUGAUUGGGAAUAAUAUAUUCAACAUGAGCUUGUAAAUAUAUAAGAGAUUAACUAAAGUUCUUGUGUGAUACACCGAUCAAACUAGACCAAACUAUCAAAGAAAUUAAUCACAGGCAAGAGCCUCGGUCGAACUGUUGCAAUGGCAGAACCAGUGGUGUCGAUUGUUCUAGAAACCGUGCGUGAUUUGUUGUUGGAAGAAGCAAGGUUUUUAUACGGUGUUGGCAAUGAUGUGAAGGAGCUCGAGAAGCAGCUGAAAGAGAUGAAGUGCUUUCUCGAAGAUGCUGACAAAAAACGACAUGGCAACAAAAUGGUUACUGAUUGGAUCUCGCAGAUCAGAGAUCUUGCAUACAGAGCCGAAUCCGCCGUUGAAUUGCACGCAACUCGAGUGUCUUCGAGGAGCAGACGAGGCCUCGGACAGCUCAUCCGCAGAUAUUCUUGCCUCUCGAUCCACAAACUAGGCUCCGAGAUUUUACAGAUCACAUCCGAUCUUGGAAGCGUCACCGAAGCCAUGCGAGCCUACGGAAUAAAGAACAUCAUCGAUGGCGGGGAGGGACACACCAGGUAAUUCUUUUUUUUUUUUCAAUUCUUUUUUGAUAAAUUUACAAUAUUAAAUAAAGGAAUUAAAAGUUCGCGCCACACACCACACAGGGGACUCGAACCCAAGACCUUUGGUCUUAGGCAUUAACCCCUUACCGCUUAGCCAACAUACGCACACUUUUUUUUUCAAGGGUUAAGUAUCAAAUAAGCCCCAACCAUAGUGGCCCUUAUCACGUUUAGCUCCCUAUAGUCGAAGUUGGGCCAACUAAACCCCUGAAGUCCUUAAUUUCGAACGAUCAGGCCCUCUGUCCUAACGGCAACUUAACACCGUUAACUAUUUAAUUUUUUUUUUAAUUUUAACACGUUCAUUUUCGCCGGAAACUCGCCGGGAAUAAUAUUUUUUCGCGCCGCCACUGAGCGGCGCCGCUGCUUGCACAGCCUCCGUCCACCUGUCGCCGACCACCUUCUGAACUCACCGUCGGACAAACAUGCGACGAGGAGGAGGCACGAUUAAAAUCGCGGCCAUCUCUCCGUCUGAAAAAUGACAAGCCCACGUCUGAAAUCGCGCCAACCCACGCUGCGAUUCAUAACUUCGUGCCGCCUCACAGCAACCCCAGCAACGGAACUCCGUUGGGAAUCGUUCAUGGCGGUUGGGCUGGCAAGAUUUGCAGGAGCAAACCCACCCAACCCCCAAUUGCCGUCGACUCCCAGACGAACGCCAAGCAACCGCAAAACCUGCUAGGGAUUGGACGAGGUGGGGGAGGUGAGAGAGGGGGAUGCGGUGGCGAUGAGAGAGGCGGAGGAUACGCCAUUGUUCCGCCGUCGUGGAUGGUGGUGGUGGUGAAGGGCUUCCCCAAAACAGUGUAUCCGACGAGUUUCCGGCGAAUAAUGUUAAAAUUAAAAAAAAUUAAAAUAGUUAACGGUGUUAAGUCGUCGUUAGGGCAGAGGGCCUGAUUGUUUGAAAUUAAGGACUUCAGGGGUUUAGUUGGCCCAACUUCGACUAUAGGGAGCUGAACGUGAUAAGGGCCACUAUGAUAGGGGCUUGUUUGAUAUUUAACCCUUAUUUAUUAUAAAAAAAAAAGAUUAAGUAUCAAUUUCACCACGUGGAGGCCCCUAGAACGUUUAGCACCAUAUGGGCAGGGGUGUGUCAACUAAGCCCCCGAAGUAUCUAAUUUCCUCCAAUUAAGCCCUCCGACAUAACGGAGAGUUAACACUGUUAACUUUUUAAUUUUUUUAUUUUGUUGGUGGUGGGACCCACACCUUCUACUUCACCAAAUUCGUCGGAAACACGUCGGAUACACGCUGGAAACCUAAUCCUAUCCUUGUUAGCCCACUUCUCCUUCUGCCUUUGCCUCUACCAGUCCAUCUCCCAACUACUCCUCUCUCUAAAUUUCCAUGAAAUUGAUGCUCGUCGCUGAAACAAUUCACUAUCCAAAUCCACCGAGCUCGCCGUCAUGGCCAACGAUUCGGCAGAAUCAAACGCCAUCAACUCGCACACCAUCGGAAUCUGGNUUGCCGUCGACUCCCAGACGAACGCCAAGCAACCGCAAAACCUGCUAGGGAUUGGACGAGGUGGGGGAGGUGAGAGAGGGGGAUGCGGUGGCGAUGAGAGAGGCGGAGGAUACGCCAUUGUUCCGCCGUCGUGGAUGGUGGUGGUGGUGAAGGGCUUCCCCAAAACAGUGUAUCCGACGAGUUUCCGGCGAAUAAUGUUAAAAUUAAAAAAAAUUAAAAUAGUUAACGGUGUUAAGUCGUCGUUAGGGCAGAGGGCCUGAUUGUUUGAAAUUAAGGACUUCAGGGAUUUAGUUGGCCCAAUUUCAAUUAUAGGGAGCUAAAUGUGAUAAGGGUCACUAUGAUAGGGGCUUAUUUGAUACUUAACAUUUUUUCAAUUAUAACUAGUAGAAAGAGCGUAUGCUAUAGUAUAAUUAAUGUUAUUUUAUUUGAUAAAAUAAAAAUAUGAAUAUAAUAUUAUUAUAUUAAUUUUCCAAUUAUAAUAUGUCUAUUAAUUGAUUAAUUCUAUAUUAUUUAUCUUUUAGAGCAAUAUUUUAGAAAAUCUAUUAGUUGGAUAAUAUAUAAACACAAAUACUCAUGUACAACCGGUUGCACCGUGCAACUGGUUGCUAGAAUGACACUACUUCACACUUGAACAUUUCCGAAUGACACUACUUCAACAUACAAAUGACACUUGAAGAUUUUCAAGUGUUAUUUGUAUGUUGAAGUAGUGUUAUUCAGAAACCAAUUGCACGGUGCAACCGGUUGUACGUGAGAGUGCCUCAUAUAUAAAUGGGUAAAGAAUUGGUAGACGAAGAGAGCAUAUAUAAUAUAAUUUAUUGCAUACAUUUAUUUACAUAUAUAUAUCGCAUAUAUUUAGUGUAAUAUCUAAUGAAUUUAUAUAUUUAUAAAUAUAAUAUAUAAAAUAAUCUUAAAAUAAAAUGUAUAACAGGGAUAAAAUUGACACAUGUGCUCAAGGCUCUUUUAGAUUAGUAUAGAUUUAGUCUGUCCAAACUUGUUUCUAAAUAUUUGCUUUUAAAAUCCUAGCUCCAUCUCUGGCGCGGGGGAGAGCUCGGCCGCCAGCGACAACAAAAAUUGGUUGAGGAAAACCUUUCCGGAUUUGGAGAUGGAUGAGUGUUUUGUGGGGAUGGAGAAAGAGGUGAACCAACUGAAAUAUCUGCUCGUCGAGGACAAAGAGCAUCGAGUUAUUUCAGUAUGGGGCAUGGGAGGUUCGGGCAAGACCACCAUUGCCAGAAAGCUGUACAACGACAUCAAGCACACCAAAAACGGUUGCUUUGACUGUUUUGUGUGGGUUUGUAUAUCUCAGCAAUGUCAGAUCCGGUCGGUUUUGGAGGAUAUUCUCAGACAGCUAAGACCACCAAAGGUUAAUGAGAAUAUUGUUUCAGACUUACCAAAUGUUAAUGAGAAUACUGUUUCAACAAGUCUGAGUGACGCGGCGUUGAUGGAGCAAGUAUGUGAGAUGCAACGAAGGAAGCGAUGCCUGAUUGUGGUGGACGAUCUUUGGGAAACUUCUCAUUGGAAUAGCUUGAAGCAUGCCUUUCUUGUCCAGGAUUUGCAGAGCAAGAUCUUGCUCACUACACGUGAACGAAAGGUUGCAGAAAUUGGAUGCCCCGUAGAACUUGGGCGUCUAAGUACGGAAAAUGCUUUGAAACUACUUAAAAAUAAAGCAUUUCCCCGUACCAACAUUCCAGGUCAGUUUGUGUGUAUAUAUGUAUAUGUAUAAUGUGGUGUUCAGUUUGGUGUUUACUUUGCAUAAUUAAUAAGCUAAAUGAUUGAGUAUUUUUAUUCUUAAAAGAUUUUUCUAAUCCCACUCUUUCAAUGAGGUAAGAAUCAAACAAAACUAGCUUAAACGAUAGAAAAUCAAGGACCUUGUGACUUCUUAAUAAUAUUGCAAACCAUCCUAGUAACUAAGGGAUUAACCUUAUUAUUUUUGUCUAUCAAGUCUAAUCCUUUAAAAUAAAUACACUUUAUGAGAUAAUAAUUCGAGUGCAUUCUCUUUGAAGGAAAAGGCUAGGAAAUAGUACUAUGUAUUCACCUUUCUUUCCACUUUUCCACAUGUUCUCCGGUUGGCUGAAUAAUUUUUCUCGAGCAAAAUGGAAAAAAGAAAUGGUGCAGCUCAUCUAUAUCUAUAUCUAUAUAUAUAUAAAAGCACAACAACUACAAAAAAUAGCAAGUUGUAUUUUCCCGUCACAAAAUCACCUUACUGUUUUUGGAAAUAAUUAUAUUUUUAAAUUUUAUUUGUUAGUUUAUUUCGUCUACUCUAUAUAAUUUAUUCUAGGCAAAAUGCAUCUUCAAGUCCCUAUACUUUUACUUUUUGUUUAGUUAGGUCCUCGUAUAUUUUUUCGUUUUAAUAGGCCCUUCUACUUUUUAUUUUGAUUUCAUUAUAUCCUUAUUUAACGGAAUGGUUAACUUUUCCGUUAUCUAAAUAAUAUAUCAUUAUUUAUAUAUGGAAUAAGUUUCUAUAUCUUAUAGUACUAAAUGUAUUUUUUUUAAUAACUAAUAAAUUUUCCUUUUCCUCCAUUGUCUUAUGCUCGAGAAACCCAAAUCAAAUUCAACCAAAAUUUUGAAAAUCCAACUCCACUUUCGCAGCUAUGUUUGGUGAAUUAAUUUCACAUCUCUAAAAUACCACAAUGCUUUAAUGAUUAUCCACCUCACUAAUGGGCAAUGCCCAGCUCUGUGGCCAUCUUCAGUUUGCCUGCAAAGAAGUUGUGUUUUAGAAUUUUUGAUGAAAAUUUUAUUUGGGCAAAGUUCAGAGAAUAUGACCAGGGAGAAUAUGACGAUGAAGAAAGGGAGGAAAAGGAAAAUUCAAUAGUUAUUAAAAGAAAAAACAAUAACUAGGAUAAUAUGUGGAAAUUUAUUAUUUUGUAAAUAAAUAAUGAUGUUUAGUUUAGAUAAUGGAAAACUUAACCAUUCCAUUAAAUAAGGACCCAUUGAAAUUAAAAUUAAAAAUAGAAGGAUCCAUUAAAAUGAAAAAAUGUACGAGGAUCUAAUGAAACAAAAAGUAAAAGUAUAGGGAUUUGAAGAUGUAUUUUGCCUUUAUUCUACUACUCAUAUACUCUAUUCCAUUAUUUAUGGUAUGUUUUCCUUUUUGGGUUGUCUCAUCUUUUAUGGCCUGUUUCUAUUUUUGGUAAUAAUUUUAUACUACAAACAAUGUGGCCUCAAACACCUUUACACACUUUUACACUACAAUCUUAUUAUCCUAAAUAACCCGUGCCCAAAAGAAAUAGGCCAUUAAUAGUGGGACGGAGGGAGUAAUUUAUUACAUUUUCAUAAUUUGUAGUUUUUAUUUUAAAAUGAGUUUGUAGCCUAACUUUACCUUAUAUGACCAUAUUAAGUAUGUAAUAACAUAUUUUUGUCUGAUCAUAAUAUUUAAUAAAUAUAAAUAAAAUUAUCAAAAUAUUAAUGUAGAUAAAAAUUUAUGAUCAUAUAUGGACUUUUAACAUAUGUAUUUAUUUGUCUUUCCUUCACUAAUAUUUAGUCAACAAGUUACAAAAGAAAUUUUGAACAUUUAUAAUUAAUCAAGUCACUAUAAUAUUCUAUAUAAUAUAUAGUACUAUAUAUAUGUUUUAUAUAUAGUUUCUAAUUAUGUUUCAUAUAUAGUUUUUAAAAAUGAUAUGUAUAAAUGGAAUACCAUAUUUAUGUAUUGAUAAUUUUGAAUCAACAAUUAAUAAUUAAUGUUACAAUGACAUAACUCAUGACAACAUAUUUAUUUUAAUAUUUUAAUUGAAUGUUAUUUCUAUAGUGGCAUGCAUUAAACUUAAGAAGAUUUACUUAUAUACAAUUAAUAUAUAAUAUAUUAUGUUAUAUAAAUGAUCUAUUCCAUAUAAUAUAUGUGUGUGUGUGUGUAUAUAUAUAUAUAUAUUGACUUUAAUCUCUAAUAGAUAAGAUAUUAUAGUCUAUGAAUGUUCACUAAUUUAAUCUAAUAUAUAUCUACAUAAAAAUAGUAUAGAAGGGGCAAAAAAUCCAAAUAUUCUAAGUUCUAAUUGUUUAAAGAAAAUAACUCAUAUAUCAAUAUUAUAUGUAAUAAAAGUAGUUCAUUAAAAGUGAUUUGCUACAUUUGUUACCAACUUUAUAAUUUUUCAGUAGAAAAUUCGAACUAAGAGGUAGGGCUGCUUAUUUGGAUAUUGGGUAUUGGUUAGAUUCGAACCGAAACUCGCCGGUUAUCGAGUAACUGAUACCCGAUAUUUGACUAAAUGGUACGGUUAUGGGUAUACCCGAUAACCGAUUGGGCCGGGUAUACCCGUUUAACUGAUUUAAUUAAUUUUAAAAUUAUAAAAUAUAAUUUUAUUAAUAUAAAUAUAUUUAAUUUGAUAUUUAUAAUAUAACUACAACGUUACGUGAAAGGAAAUGUAUCAAUUCAAAUACUAAUAAUUAAAUAAACUUAUGAAUAGUCAAAGUAAAAUAGAAUAAUCAAUAAUAAACUAUUAAACUGUAUUAAAAUUUUAACUCAACUCAAUGAAAUCAUUAACUUGUUCAUCGCUUCAUCUAGAAGGUCGCGGGUUCAAACCCCUUUGAAGGCAAAAGCAGCAAUUUCAACAAUUUUUAGUGUGCAUGUGUUGGCCAAGCGGUAAGGGAUUAAUGCCCAAGACCAAAAAAGUCUUGGGUUCGAGUCCCCUGUGGCGCGGCCUUUAAAUUUCUUCGUUUAGUGUUGUUAAUUUAUCAAAAAGAAAAAAAUAACUUGUUCAUCGCAUCAUCGCACGAGAAAUUGUGAAGGUGAGUUGAUUAAAUAAGUUCUGCUAAAUAGCUACCAUUUAACAUAGCUAAAUUUUUCUAAUAGUAUCUCGAUUACCCGUUUAACCGACCCAUAUAACUGUCCCAUUCAACCAGUAAUACCGUUUGGGUUCAGGUACGGGUAACAUAAAUGCUACAUUUUUGGUACGAAUACCCGAAUUUUGGGUACGGUUAUCCCGUACCCGACCCAUUCAUAUAUCACCCCUACUAAGAGGUGAUUAGAAUAAAAUCAAAUUCGUUAUUACAAUUUGAACUCAUGAAGAUAAUCAAUUUUUUUCAUGAAGCGUCUAUUUCUAUAUAAAAGGAAAGCAAUAAUGUGAAAAUGUCAAUUCAAAAUAAUUUCACUUCAUUGAAUUUUAAAAAAAUAAUUGGGACGAAUGAAGUAUUUUGAAAAAAUUCUGAGUUGUAUAAUAUGCAUCAAAGAAUAAAAGAUCUAGAAAAUCUUUUUUGCUAAUAUGCAUAAAAAAAUUAGAAAAUCUUUCUUGCUUAAUAGAAACCUAAAAUAAAAAAUAUAUUUAAACUAGCUAAUAAUGAUCGUUGAUAAAAAUAUAUUUUUAAUUAAGAUAUUGGUCAUUGAUUUGACUCACAUACAACUAUAAAAAGUCACUUUUAUUUGAACAAUUAUAGUAUAGGUGAGAUCUAUCUUAUAUAAGUUAAAAAAAAAUUAUGAAUGUGAUCUUUUAAGUAUAAAUUACUUAUACUUUAAAUAAUUUAGCUAAAUAAUUAUUAGCAUGCAUCGCACGGUAGCAAAACUAGUCUUUACUUAAUUUUACUUCAACUUAUGAUAAAUUGACACGUGUCAUUCAUCUGUAUUUUUAAUAGACAAGCAGAAAGAAUUAGUGUCAUUUUAUUUGAUAAAACAAAAAAUAUAAAUAUAAAAUUUAGUAUUAUAUUUAAUCUUUCAAUUAAUAACUUGUUAUAUUAAAUUCUAUUAUCUCUUAUAGUAAUUUUUUUGAGAAAAUCUAUUAGUUCAUUAUUUCUACUAAAUAUAAUUUAUUGGAUAGAUAUAUUUAUUCAUAAGCCUUAUAAUAGCUAUAGAUAUAUAUCACAUGAUUUAGUGUACUAUUUAAUAAAUUAGUGUAUUCUUAUAAAUAUAUAAUAUAUAAAUCCACAUAAAACAUGUAAUAAGGAUCAAAUUGGCAAUCCACGUGUUGUGCCCAAAACUUUGUUUAUAUUAGCUAGUAUAUAUAGAUAAUGUCAAUUGUCACACAAACUGGCAAUAGAUAAUCAUAAACGAAAUUGUUGUCUUUUCUUAUCUUUUUUCCUUAUGAUAAAUUUGUACCCAACGGGAGCACACUCUUAACAAUGAAAAGUGAAGUGCAAUAGUUACAAGAUUAAUAUGGGGUCAGAGGAUUUUUUAGGACAAUAACUUAGGUUGAUUUGGAAAUUAAGACAAAAACUUUCGGACUUCUAAAAAUAGGACACUAAUUUUUUUUAGAGUAAAAUAGGACACUAAUUAAUAAGCGUCGUAAAAUAGGACAUUUUUCGGCCGAUAAUUGGCCGAGAAAUGUCCUGCGGGUGCAACACUUAUUAAUUAGUGUCAUAUUUUACUCUAAAAAAAAUUAGUGUUCUAUUUUUACAAGUCCAAAAGUUUAUGUCCUAAUUUCCAAAUCAACCUAAGUUAUUAUCCUAAAAAACCCUCGAACUCGAUUAAUAUGCAAGUAGUUUCUUUUGACUUCUAACGGAUUAAUAUGCAAGUAGUUUCUUUUGACUUUUAACAGAUUAAUGUAGAUUUAAUUGGAUUUGGCUUCUACUGCAAAUUAAUUUUCUAACAGAUUUACUUGCUAAUAGUAAUGUCUUUUGUUGUCAUUUGUUAUUACAGACUUUGCAUUGGAGGAAAAUUUUGAGAAAAUUGCGAAAGAAAUGGUGAAGAAAUGUGGCUAUUUGCCCUUGGCAAUUUCUUUACUUGGUGGGAUCUUGAGAAUGAAAAAUUCGAUCAUGGAGUGGGAGUUAGUAAAUAGGGAUAUCAAAGAACACAUAUAUAGAGAUGAGAAGCAGAUUGAUGAAGUGCUAAAUUUAAGCUAUGAAAGUCUACCAUAUUAUUUGAAGCCUUGCUUUCUCUAUAUGGGUAUAUUCAAAGAGGACCAAGGUGUAGGUGUUGAGUAUCUAUAUAGGAUGUGGAUAGCGCAAGGCAUGAUUUCAAAUGAGAAUAUUCGAGACAAGGACAAAAUUUUGUUUGAAAUUGCGGAGCUCUACUUGGGUGAGUUGGCCUCCAGGUCCAUCGUCCAAGUUGUAAUUAACGAUGGUGUCACACCUGGAAAGAAAUAUAAGGCAUGCAAACUUCAUGAUGUCGUAAGAGAAGUAUGUCUGAAAUUGGGGGAAAUGGAGGAUUUUGGUGUACUGGGUUUGGAGUAUCAAAGUGGGAAACUUAGUACCUUACAACGGGAAGCUUCCUCGCUUAUGAGAAUACGACAUUUGGGUAUCCAUUUCAGCAAAGAAGUCCAAGUGGAACCUGACGAGCUUACAAUCACUUGUGGAGAAUAUAGUAGCAAACAUUUAAGGUCUCUUCAAAUGGUCAGUCACAUAAAUUUGAGUGUUGCUAUUGAGUUUCCCCCACAAAGUAUCAUUGAUUUUCAGAAAUUCAAAUUGCUUAGAGAUCUUACUAUCAAGGGAUUCAAAUUUGCUGGAAGAAAGUUACCAAGAGGAAUCACAAAUCUUGUUCACCUUAGACGUUUGUGUUUACAAGCAUGUGAACUUGAUAAGGUACCGUGGUCCAUAAGUAAUUUGGUAUACAUGGAUACCUUUGAAUUAACUGGUUCGUAUAAUGUUGAAGUUCCAAAUGUUUUUAAGGAGAUGCCACGCUUAAAGCACCUGAUUCUUUCCUAUUGGAAGGUGGAUUAUAUUGGAACUUAUCGGCUAACAUUGGAUGAGGGAGUGGUUGAGCUAGAGACACUAUGGGGGUUGGAUACUAGAGUGCAUGAAUUAAAAUGUAUGGGUAGAAUGAAAAAUCUGCGACGUUUGUCAAUAAAUUUCCACGACAAUGAAAGCUUGUUAGCCACCAUCGACGCCAUUUCUACCAUGGACAAGUUAGUGAGUUGUAUGGUUGGAAUCAAAGAGGGUUGUGAGUUCGAAACAAAUAUGGGAGUGUUGGAGAAGGCAUUUACAUGUCCCAAUCUUGACAACGUGUAUAUUGACAUUAAGUUAGGGAAUAUGCUUGCAAAGUGUGGGUGUAACUUCAUGAGCUCAAAACUUACGACUUUGUACCUGGGUGGAUGUGCGAUUGAGGAUGAUUCAAUGGAGAUAUUGGGGAAGCUUCCUCGCUUGAGAGAUUUGUCUUUAUUAAUUGGUUCAUUUGUUGGGGAGAAGAUGACGUGUCCAUCAAACAGUUUUCCUCGCCUCAAGACGCUUGUCCUAUUUAAAUUACCAAACCUGAGAGAGUGGAGCGUGGAGGCAGGAGCCAUGCCCCUUCUCUCUAAAUUAGAAAUAAAUGAGUGUUCUAAUCUGGAGAUGAUUCCAGAUAGAUUGAGUGAUAUUUAUACUCUUCGGGAACUCGAAAUUAGUGGAAUGUCAGAAUUGGGGAAGAGGGUAUCGGCAUCAGGAGAGGAUUUCUAUAAAGUCAGCCAUGUCCCUUUAGUUAUCAUCCGAAACUAGUCUCAACCCAGGUAAGAUAUAUAUCUCAUAAUUUCUCACAUUUUCAAUUUUAUAGUUUUUAAUUUAAUAAUGUACAUUAUUCCUUUCACCAUAUUUAACACUUGUAAUGACCAAACUGGCAGAAAAUAUUCUUUCCAAUAGGGUUUUCAAUAAAUUGCAAUGUUUUGGGAUAGUAAACCAUGUAACAAUUUCAUAUGGCCAGUUAAAAGUAUUUGUGUUCGUUCUUCUUAUAAAUUUUUCAUUUUUUCGUACCCUUAUGAUUAUUUUAUCCUGUUAAAAUAGGCAUAACUACUUGCGACGAUGCCAUAGAACCAAAACAAAUGUUUAUGUUCUUCCUUUUACUGUUUCAUAUUGCAGGCAAGUUGGAGCUAGGCUGUUAUUAUAUAUUUGGAUCUGGGUCAGGCAAGGAGUAAUUAUAUUUCGCUGGUUAUGUGAUUUGGUUUUUCAUGUCAAGUCUUUCUGAUCACUUUAUUUUGUUUUCUUGUGUUUUAGACGAGUAUUCUUCUUUCUUUACUGGGAACUUUCUUCAGGGAUGUUCGCCAUAAAGGUUUUUAAUGAGGCUCGGCCCUUAGUAUUUUCUCAAACUGCAUUCUCAGUGUGAUCCUCUUUCUACUAUUUUCUCUAGAAGAAAAUGUACUAUUUGUUAGUCAUGUUUUUGUGUAUAAGAAAUGCAUAGAAUCCAGAUAAUUUAAAGUAUUGUUGUUUUCGUGUUCUGCUUGGAAUUGGUCUCAACUGUUCAACUCAAUCUGUCAAUUUUCAAAUUCAGUUACAUGCUUAGCUAUGCAAGUUGGAGCUAGGCUCGUUAAUGAACCAAACUCAAGCUUCAUUACAAAUGUCAAAUUUAAAGUUAAACGAGCCGAGCUCAAACCCAACUCGACCCAUUUAUAACCCUAGCAGACAAAAAAGAGAGACUGCGUGGUGGACAGAGAUAUAGUAUAUAUUAUCAACCUAAAUCAAUAGCGCUUAAAUUCCAGCGAAGCAGUAUCAAGGCAAAUGAAAAUGCAGAAUUCCUAGCAUAUGCACAUUAACUUCAGAAACAUAGAAGCCUUAAUCAAAACAAGAAACAAAACACCAAAGGACCCUGUAGUUCUUCCGCAGAAACGAGUACCGGAAAUCCACCACCAGUUUCUUCAAAAAUGAAGACGACCGCCUCGCCUUCACGUACGAGUGCCCCAUUAUGUACGCCACUCUGGCCUCUUUUGCCUCAAUCAGGUCCAUAUAGAGUUUAGGAAAAUACAUGCACAGUCUAACAUUUGACAAUAUUAAACGCUUAAAAUUGUCACAUAUCGUUUAUCCAUAUUUGAACAGUUAUUGUCACAAAAAUUGGCACUAAAAGAUCUUAAUGUAGCAAUUCAGAGGUCCACAAUUAACUAAGCUUGUCUUAAUCGUCGUUUAAGCCAAAGUCUUAACAACUUUUAUUUACAAAAUACAAAGAGCUAGCUGAAUAAUUCUUAUUUUCACAUGCAACUACUCCCCUAAAUGGUCAUGAGCACAAAUAAUAUUUAAUCAAAAGACAGACUGCAAAGCAUCUUUUGCUAUAACUUUUCUGCUCCAUAUAUACUUCAAUUGAAAGCUCAAACGAACUGCAUACUCCCUCUGUCCCAGUCUAAUAAGCUCAUUUUUUUUAGGCAAAGUGAUUAAGAAACUUACUUUUUAGGAGAAAAAUUAUGCGGCCCACAUCAAUUAAGUGUAUUUUUUUACUCAAAAUGAAAAAUGAGCAUAUUCUAAUGGGACGUCUCAAAAAAGAAAACGAGCCUAUUAGAGUGAGACGAAGGAAGUAAUUAAUAAAAAGACAAGUACUGUCUUCUGAAACGCGUAUACAAUGUCACAAUCUAUCAUAUAUUUGUUUCAAAGUCGAUUGAAGCAAAUAAAGAUUGAUUCCUUAAUUUGAACUUUAAUUACUCUUCAACAACUAAUAAUAGGUAUAUAUGAACACAAGAAUAAUAGUGUAUUAAAAUAAUUAAAUAAUCUAUCAUAAUUGAGUGGGAAUAAUAUAUUCAACACAAGCUUGUAAAUAAGAGAUUAACUAAAGUUCUUGUGUGUAGUGAUACACACCGAUCAAAAUACUAGAAAGAUAUGGAAUAGUUGCAAACUUCAUGAUGUAGUAAGAGAACUAUGUUUGAAAUUGGGGAAAAGGGAGGAUUUUGGUUUGCAGAGUUUGGAUUAUCCAAAUGGGAAACUUAAUUAGUAUCUUACAACGGGAAGCUUCUUCGCAUAUGAAAAUACUCCCUCCGUCCGCCAAAAGUAUUCCACUUUGGCCGGGCACGGAGUUUAAUAAAAUGUGUGAUGAUGUUGAUGUAGUGGAGAAAGGGUCCCACCACUUUAUGAGAUGUGUGGUUGAGAUUGAAUUUGGGGUGGGUUUUUUGUAAAUAAAGAGUGUUUGUAAGGAUAAAAUAUAAAGGUGGAUGGUGGGACCAUGGCUUAAAAAGAAAAGUGGAAUACUUUUUGCGGACGCCAAAUAUAGUAAUUGUGGAAUACUUUUGGCGGACGAAGGGAGUACGAUAUUUGGGUAUCCAUUUCAGAGAAGAAGUCCAAUUGGAACUUGACAAGCAAACAAUCACUUGUGGAGAAGAUAGCAAACAUUUAAGGUCUCUUCAAAUGGUCAAUAACAUAAAUUUGAAUGUUGUUGUUCAGUUUCCCUCCCAGAAUAUCGUUGAUUUUCAGAAAUUCAAAUUGCUGAGAGAUCUAAUUCUUGUGGGAUUUGAAUUUGCGGGAAGAAAGUUACCAAAAGGAAUCACUAAUCUUGUUCACCUGAGACGUUUGCAUUUACAAAGAUGUGAAUUUGAUAACUUACCGUCGUCCAUAAGGAAUUUGGCAUACAUGGAUACCCUUGAUUUAUGUUUUUCGACAAAUGUUAGAGUUCCAAGUGUUUUUAAGGAGAUGGUACGUUUAAAACACUUGCAUCUUCCCAACUACGAUGAAAACAUUGGAAAUUAUCGAUUAACACUAGAUGAAGGGGUAGAUAAGCUUGAGAGUCUAAUUGGAUUGGAUAGUAGAGUGCAUGAAUUAAAAUGUAUAGACAGAAUGAAGAAUCUCCGACGUUUCACUAUAAUAGUCCGUGACAAUGAAAGCUUGUCAACCACCAUCGACACCAUUGCUAUCAUGGACAAGUUAGUGGCUUCUGUGAUUAUGAUCGAAGAGGGUUGCGAGUUGGAAACAGAUAAGGGAUUGUUGGAGAAGGCAUUCACAUGUCACAAUCUUCACCACAUGACGAUUAAAGUUAAGUUAAGGAAUGUGCUGGCAGAGUGCACGCGUGACUUCAUCAGCUCAAAACUUGCCACUUUGUUCUUGUGGCAUUGCGAGAUUGAGGAUGAUCCAAUGAUGAUACUGGGGAAGCUUCCUUUCUUGAGAGACUUGCGGUUAUGGACGGGAUCAUUUGUCGGGGAGGAGAUGACGUGUGCAUCAAAAAGUUUUCCUCGCCUCAAGAGGCUUGAGCUAUGGGAGUUACCAAAGUUAAGGGAAUGGAGAGUGGAGGCAGGAGCCAUGCCCCUUCUCUCUACAUUGGAGAUCCAUUUUUGUAAUAGUUUGGAGAUGAUUCCAAAUGAACUGAGUGGCAUUUCUACACUUCAGAAACUGGAGAUCAAUGGAAUGCCGAAAAUGGGGAAGAGGGUAUCGGCAUCAGGAGAGGAUUUCCACAAAGUCAGCCAUAUCCCUUCAAUUAUCAUCAAAGACAUUCUCUAGUCUAGUCUCCACACACUCAGGUUAGGUAUCUCAUUUCUCAUUUUCAAUUUUAGCUUUUAAUACUCCCUCCGUCCAAGAAAGAACUUCUUAGGAGGGGUGACACAAGUUUUAUUUAAGAAAAAAAAAUUAUAAUUAGUAUUGAGAGCGAUGAAAAGUGAAAAGUAAGUGGUGGGGUAUAGUUCAAAAAUAGAUAGAAAGUUCUUUUGUAGACGUCUCAAAAAGGAGAAGUAGAAAGUUCUUUCGUGGUCGAAGAGAGUAUAAAAAUGUUCUUUUCACCAUAUAUAACACUUGUAAUGACUAAACUGGAAGAAAACAUUCUUUCCAAUUGGGGUUUCAAUAAAUUGCAAUGUUUUGGGAUAGUAAACCAUGUAGCAAUUUCAUCUGGCCAAUUAAAGUAUUUGUGUUCGUUCUUAUAAAUUUUUCAUUUGUUCAUGUCAAACUCUUAUGAUUAUUUUAUCCUGUUAAAAUAGGCAUAACUACUUGCGACGAUGCCAUAGAACCAAAACAAAUGUUUAUGAUCUUCCUUUUACUGUUUCAUAUUGCAGGCAAGUUGGAGCUAGGCUAUUGUUAUAUUUGGAUUUGGGUCAGGCAAGGAGUUAUUAUAUUUUGUUGGUUAUGUGAUUUGGUUUUUCUUGUCCAGUUUUUCUGUCUUUAUUUUGUUUUCUGUAUUUUAGACGAGUACUCUUUUUCCUUGACUGGUAACUUUUUUAAGGGAUGUUCGCCAUAAAGGUUUUUAAUAAGGCUCGAGCCUUACUCUUAAAGAAUAUAUGCAUUCUCUCAUACUCUAAUACUGUCAUUAUGUUUUUAUGCAUGUUCAUUCCUAACAAAUUUCAUACUCAGAUGAGAGAACUCGUUUGUAUUAUUGUUAAUUUACAGGUUGAGCAUUGAUUUUAUGGUAUAGUUAUUGACUAUUGCUACCACUUUGGUGCUCAUGCAUAGAGAUUAACAUUUACCUCAAAGGGUGCAUACUCCUCAGUAACGUUGUAAUGAAGCCAACUCAUUAUAAGUUUUUAUUGUAUUUCAAGUGUUCUUCAACUCAAUCUGUAAAUUUUGAGUUCAAAUUCAGUUACAUGCUUAGCUAAGCAAGUUGGAGCUAGGCUCUUAACGAACCAAACUCAAGCUUCACUACAAAUGUCAAAUGGGCUACGUCGUAAUCUAAAGUUAAACGAGCCGAGCUCAAACCCAACUCGACCCGUUUACAACGCUAGCAAGACAAAAGAAGAGAGACUGCGUGGUGGACAGAGAGAUAUAGUAUAUAUUCUCAACCUAAAUCAAUAGCAUUGAAAUUCCAGCUAAGUAGCAAGGCAUAUGAAAAUGCAGAAUUCCUAAGAGACACCAUGAUGUUUGAACUAGAUAACCUCGUAUCUCCAGAAAGAGACACCUAAUAUGGUGCAUGCUUAUCUUCUUGUCGUGAAGCCUGAAGGUGGGCAUCAAGAAAGUGUUUGCUGAGACAGUAGAUCUUGGAAAAGCAGACAAGAUAAAGGAGUUGAAGGAUGGUUAAUUCAACACAAUUUUUGUAAACUUCUAACAGGAAAGGAAACUGUCUUCUUGUACAAUAAUUUAUUCAUAUCAUAGACUAGAUUAUCUGUAUUAAUAACAUUAAUGAACCUUUAUUGGCUUAAAUCCCCUUUAUUGACUACCUUAUCAUUUUUUAAACCAUGUUAUUCAAUUUUCGUCGUCAGAGUGGUUGAGAAAUGUAUUUUUAAUGCAUAUUCCCUUUGAAUGAGUGGAAUAAUGAGCGAGAAUUAUCGAAUGAAGAGGAAAGAAGAAUAGGUGAUCCUGAUCCCUACUAAACAAAACAAACUGCAAUUAACAAAUAAAGAUUAAUGUGCUUUCUCAUAAGCUAAACUACUUUCACACGCGCUUUUCCCACGAACAAAAAUCAAACCUCCCAAGAUCCCUCUUUGUUUUUAGAGAACUCUCCAAGACCUAAUUUCUCUGUUCCAGAUUUCAAAUUCUUCGCGUAUUCAAGCUCCUUAUUCCUAUUCUUCUAUAUAUACACUCACCAGUAAAUCAAGUAGAUCCAAGAAAUUUAAGUUUGGAAUUUUUGCAAUGGCAGAAGCAGUGGUGUCCAUGGCUCUAGAAACCUUGCGCGAUUUGUUGUUGGAAGAAGCAAGGUUUUUAUAUGGUGUGGGUGACCAAGUGAGGGAGUUCGAGAUCCAGCUCAGAGAGAUGAAAUGUUUCCUUGAAGAUGCUGACAGAAGGCGACAUGAAAACAAAACCAUUUUCAAUUGGAUCUUGGAGAUUAGAGAUCUUGCGUACAGAGGGGAAGCUGCCAUUGAAAGACACGCAGCUUCUCAAGUGUCUUCAAGGAGAAGACGAGGCAUCCGACAGCUCGUUCGCAGAUGUUCUUGUAUUUUGGAAGAAUACAACUCGCUCCACCUACUAGGCUCCGAGAUUUCACCAAUUAAAUCCCAUCUUGAAAGGAUAAACAAGGAAAUGUUAGAUAGCGGCAUAAAGAAGAGCAUCAUCAACAAUACAGAUGAAGGGGAAAGCUCGUCCACCAACAACAGAGCAAGGAUGAGCUUCCCCGAAUUCGAGAUUGGAGAGUGUUUUGUGGGGAUGGAGAAAGAGCUGAAGUGGCUUUUUCAUCUCCUCGGGCAAGACAACAAGGAUCGAGUUAUUUCAGUGUGGGGGAUGGGCGGUUCAGGCAAGACCACCAUUGCCAAAAAGCUCUACAAUGAGACCAAGACCAGCUUUGAUCUGUGCGCAUGGGUUUGCAUCACUCAGCAAUGUCAGAGUUUUCAAUCAGUUUGGGAGGAUGUUCUCAGGCAGCUAAGCAUCAAAGCAGCAAGGGUGUAAGCGAUGAGCCACAACAAAUAAGGGAUGGCGUUGUUCCAAAUCUGAGCGAGUGGGAGUUGAAGGAGCGACUAUGCAAGAUACAAAGAGACAAGCGUUGCCUCAUUGUUAUUGAUGAUCUUUGGAAAGUUGCUGAUUGGAAUCAGUUGAAGCAUCCCUUCCUUGUCCAGAAUUUGCAAAGCAAAAUCUUGAUCACCACACGCGAAACAGAAGUUGCAAAGAUUGGUUGCGCAGUAAAAGUUGGGCUUCUAAAAGAGGAAGAUGCUUUGGAACUACUCAAGAAGAAAGCCUUUCCACAUACCAACAUUCCAGGUUAGUUGUGUCUAUGUAUAAUAUGGUGCUUUAGUUCUAUCUACAAAUUAAUAUUNCAGCCAUCCCUCUUCUCCGCCUCCGGCCGUGGCCGAGCAACAGCAGCCAUGGCCGCCGAGCUCUGCCUCCCUCCGCUGACUCCGGCUGCCACGACCAGUAGCUGGUCGCCGCCCCUUCUCACCCUCUCUCUCUCCGUCCUCGGCCCGACAGCAGCGAGCAGAGCCGCUGUGCUGCGGCCUCCCUUGUUCAACCUUGGCCGACGGCAGCGAGGACCACCGCCUCCACGACACACCACUCUCUCAUUCCCUUUCCAGACUCAGUCCGGCGAACAGCAAUGAAGCCGCCGCCGACCCCCAGACCAGCCUUCAACAAGACUCAUCCCGUCUCUCCCUUCUCUCGGCUGAACUGACAGCAGCCGCUCAUCUCUCUCCACCCCCCUCUCUCUCCGGCCGACAGCAGUAGAUGGAGCAAACUGCCGCCGCCGACAUCAAAACAAAGUUUUAAGACAUCUUAUUCAAUUAUUCAUGCUUUCAUAUGCAUAUGCACAGAUUGUAUCUAUAUAUAUAUAAUUAUGCGAAUACAUAUGUAUGCUCAUGAUGUAGCUCUACUGUCAUUUUAAUAAAGAUGGCAAAGAAUACAAUUUAUAGAGUAGAGUUUGGAAAUGAAACCUUUUUAAGGAUUCUGCUAGAUCAGUUUCUGUAUAUGCUUAAUUGUUGAAAUUGUUGAGCUUUGGAUAUGGAGAACUUAGCUGCAGGAUUUGUAGGGGAAGGAUGCUUUACAAUGGUGAUGUUAAGUGUUGGGUGAAAGAUGGAGUAGGUGGUGGAUGGGACUGCAUUGGCUGAUUUUGGUGGGGGCAAUGUAUCGUGUGAGUGGGGAGAAUGGAAAAUGUGAGUGGGAGUGAAAAGUGUGAGUGGGGAGAGUGGAAAUAAAAUAAAAAUAUAAUAAAAAGUCUUCCGGUUUGUACCAUGAAAACUGUAAUAAUCGCUCAGUAUUCGCUAAAUAAAUAUCUCGUGAAAAAUACUUGAAUGCUAAAUUAAAUAAAUAUGCAAUGCAUAUAAAUUUAAUAACUAAAUUUACAAAUAUUUUUGUAAAUCAUUUUGUUGGAAUUAAAAAUAAAUUCAUUUUCUUUAUCCGGCNNNNNNNNNNNNNNNNNNNNNNNNNNNNNNNNNNNNNNNNNNNNNNNNNNNNNNNNAAUCGUUCUUUCUGACUGCCUGUCAGUCUGCUCUAGCUGUAGAAACACGAGCAGCAGGGGGGCAAAGCUUCGGCUCAGUCCAGUUUCCUUCUCUAAGCGCACAGCAACGUGCACCACAACUAACUCCGGUAGCUCUACGCACCCACGACACCCUUGACCCUCUCCGGCGGCUCCUCACAAUAGCUGCGUCGGGAAGACACGAAACAGGGGGAGAACAAGCAAGACACGAAGCUUCUUGUUCGAUCCAUGUGAGGAGGUGAAUGGAGAGAUAGAGAACACGGGUCGCUCGAUCACACAAGAACAGCGACAACAAUCGUCUUCUCUCUCACACUCAACUGCGCCUCUCCUUUAUCUCACUAAGAGAAAGUAGCUUCUCCCAAUUUCAAACUCAAGAUGCCUCUUCUCUGCACACUUUCCCUCACUUAGCAAUUAGGGCAAAGAGGCUUAAGUAGGUUAGGAUAUGGGUAUGCCAGGAUGGGCUUUGGUGUGUGGGUUUGGGCUUCCAAGGAAUUGGGCCAAAUAAGACUCAUAUAUUUAUACAUAUAUUCUAACUAUUUACUAAAAGCUGUGUGCCCACACCUUUGGUGUAACGACAAAUUAUUUAAUGCUAUGUAUUGAUAUGUAUUGAUGACUAUUGGCGAAGGCAGCAGCUCUACAAUUACGACCACAGCUUCCUUAUCUUUUCUAAGUAACUUCCAUCUCACCACUACCAAUUCAAGAGUGCUCAACCAAUCAAUUUGACCAAAUAUAUCUGAGCUUCCCCAAAUCAGAAAAUCAAGAGUGUUCCACCAAUCAAUUAGACCAAAUGGCAGAAGCAGUGGUGUCGAUGGCUCUAGAAACCUUGCGCAAUUUGUUGUUGGAAGAAGCAAGGUUUUUAUAUGGUGUGAGCGAUGAAGUGAAGGAGCUCGAGAUCCAGCUCAAAGAGAUGAAGUGUCUGCUUAAAGAUGCCGAUAGAAGACGACAUGAAAGCGAAACCAUUUUGAAUUGGAUCUCGGAGAUCAAAGAUCUUGUGUACAGAGCGGAAGCUGCCAUUGAAAGACACGCAGCUUAUCAAGUGACUUCAAGGAGAAGACGAGGCCUCAGACAGCUCGUUCGCAGAUGUUCUUGUAGUUUGGAAGAAUACAACUCGAUCCACCUACUAGGCUCCGAGAUUUCACCGAUCAAAUCCCAUCUUGAAAGGAUAAACAAGGAAAUGUUAGAUAGUGGCAUAAAGAAGAGCAUCAUCAACAAUACAGAUGAAGGGGAAAGCUCGUCCACCAACAACAGAGCAAGGAUGAGCUUCCCCGAAUUCGAGAUUGGAGAGUGUUUUGUGGGGAUGGAGAAAGAGCUGAAGUGGCUUUUUCAUCUCCUCGGGCAAGACAACAAGGAUCGAGUUAUUUCAGUGUGGGGGAUGGGCGGUUCAGGCAAGACCACCAUUGCCAAAAAGCUCUACAAUGAGACCAAGACCAGCUUUGAUCUGUGCGCAUGGGUUUGCAUCACUCAGCAAUGUCAGAGUUUUCAAUCAGUUUGGGAGGAUGUUCUCAGGCAGCUAAGCAUCAAAGCAGCAAGGGUGUAAGCGAUGAGCCACAACAAAUAAGGGAUGGCGUUGUUCCAAAUCUGAGCGAGUGGGAGUUGAAGGAGCGACUAUGCAAGAUACAAAGAGACAAGCGUUGCCUCAUUGUUAUUGAUGAUCUUUGGAAAGUUGCUGAUUGGAAUCAGUUGAAGCAUCCCUUCCUUGUCCAGAAUUUGCAAAGCAAAAUCUUGAUCACCACACGCGAAACAGAAGUUGCAAAGAUUGGUUGCGCAGUAAAAGUUGGGCUUCUAAAAGAGGAAGAUGCUUUGGAACUACUCAAGAAGAAAGCCUUUCCACAUACCAACAUUCCAGGUUAGUUGUGUCUAUGUAUAAUAUGGUGCUUUAGUUUCUAUCUACAAAUUAAUAUUCUAAAAUAUUUACGUGCUGGUACUUUCUUUACUUGCAUCAUCGAUUCCAAAUUAGAUGAAAGGGUAAAUAAUUAAGUUAUAAAGUUGUAGUACUAUUCAAUUAAUUGUCAUUUGUUAUUUCAAUACAGAUUUUGCAUCUGAAGAAACUUUUGAGAAAAUUGGGAAAGAAAUGGUGAAGAAAUGUGGGAAUUUGCCGUUGGCAAUUUCUUUACUGGGUGGGGUCUUGAGAAUGAAAAAUUCGAUGAAGGAGUGGGAGUUAGUAAAUGAGGAUAUCAAAGAAUUCAUAUAUAGAGAUGAAAAGGAGAUUGAUGGAGUGCUAAAUUUAAGCUAUGAAAGCCUACCCUAUUAUUUGAAGCCUUGCUUUCUCUAUAUGGGUUUAUUUCAAGAGGACGAAGUUAUAGAUGUUAAGGAUCUAUAUCGUAUGUGGAUAGCCCAAGGCAUGAUUUCAUAUGAGAAUAUUGGAGACAAGAAGGAAACUUUAACAGACAUCGCCAAGCUCUACUUACGUGAGUUGGUCUCGAGGUCCAUUGUCCAAGUUGAAAUUAAAGAGAAUUAUGAUGUCGCAUGCAAACUUCAUGAUGUUAUACGUGAGCUAUGUUUGAAAUUGGGGAAGAGAGAGGAUUUUGGUGUGCAGAGUUUGGAGUAUCAAGGUGGGAAACUUAGUAUCUUGCUACAGGAUGCUUCCUCGCGUAUGAAAAUACGACAUUUGGCUAUCCAUUUCAAAAGAGAAGUCCAAGUGGAACCUGACGAGCUUACAAUCACUUGUGGAGAAUAUAGUAGCCAACAUUUAAGGUCUCUUCAAAUGUUCAAUCACAUAAACUUGAGUGUUGCUAUUGAGUUUCCCCCACAAAGUAUCAUUGAUUUUCAGAAAUUCAAAUUGCUUAGAGAUCUUGUUAUCGUGGGAUUCAAAUUUGCUGGAAGAAAGUUACCAAGAGGAAUCACAAAUCUUGUUCACCUUAGAUUUUGGCGUUUACAAGCAUGUGAAGUUGAUAAGCUGCCGUCGUCCAUAAGAAAUUUGGUGUACUUAAACACCCUUGAUUUAAGGCAAUCAAAGAAUGUUGGAGUUCCAAAUGUUUUCAAGGAGAUGUUGCGACUAAAACACUUGUUUUUUCCUCAUUAUGACCAGGCAAAUAUUGGAAAUUUUAGAGUAAGAUUGGAUGAGGGAGUAGAUGAGUUGGAAACUCUGAUAGGGUUCAAUAGUAUAAUGCAUGAAUUUACAUGUAUGGGCAGAAUGAAGAAUCUUCGAUCUUUUUCAGCAUUCAUACAUGACAACGAAGCCUUGUCAGCUAUCACAAAUGCCAUUGCUACCAACUGGAAGAAGUUAGUGUACAGUGGGGUUACUCUCGUAGAGGGUUGUGAGUUAACAACAAGUGAGCAAGUUGUGAAGAAGACAUUGACAUGUCCCAAUCUUCAUUACUUGGGGAUUCUUAUUAAGUUAGGGAAUGUGCUAUCUAAGUGUGGGAGUGACUUCAUGAGUUCAACACUUGCUAGAGUGUACCUGUUUAAAUGCGAGAUUGAGGAUGAUCCAAUGGGGAUACUGGGAAAGCUUCCUUGCUUGGUAGAAUUGGAAAUGCACUGGGAAUCAUUUGUUGGGGAGCAGAUGACAUGUCCAUCAAAUAGUUUUCCUCUCCUCAAGAUGCUUUAUCUAUCAUAUUUACCAAAGUUGAGGGAGUGGAGAGUGGAGUCAGGAUCCAUGCCCAUUCUCUCUCUAUUACAGAUAAAUAGUUGUUCUUGUCUGGAGAUGCUUCCAGAUGGAUUGAGUGGCAUUUCUACUCUUGAGAAACUGACAAUCAUUAAAAUGCCGGAGUUGGGAAAAAGGGUUUUGCCAUCAGGACAGGAUUAUCACAAAGUGCGCCAUGUCUCUUCAAUCAUCAUCCGAGACUAAUCUCCACCCAACUAAGGUAAUGCUCAUUUCUCACAUUUUCAACUUUAGUUUUUAAUAAUAAGUAUAUAUCACCAAAUUUCUUGCCAUGUCCCUUCACCAUAUUUUAAACUACUUGCCACCGUAAGUAACUAUCUUAUCUCAUUAAUAUACGGUAACUCAAUUCUAAAUUGAAUAACCAAACUAAUAAUUAAAUCCCAAGGUGUAUAAGUAUUAGGAUUGUAAUAGUACCAAAACAUUCCACGACGUUGAUUAACUAGAAAAAGUUGUAACUCAAUUUUAGGCUUUUCUCUUUUUCUUCUUAAUAAAAACUUAAUUUGAAGAAUAUAUGCAUUCUCAAAGUCUAAUCCCGUAAUUAUGUUUUUAUUUUCACUCCCUAACAAAUUGUACUCCUAUAAGGGCGUAUACUUUACACGAUUGAUAAGAUAGAUGAUUGAGUAUGAUUUCUUUAAUCUCAUCCUUUUGAUGGAUAAGAACCAAAUAAAAAUUAGAUCAAAUGAUAGAAACAAGGGCCUUGAGAUAUCCCAAAGUUUCAAUCGAUCAAAAAAAUAAGGGAUUAACUUUAAUAUUUUUAUCUAUCAAGGCUAAUCAUUAAAGUAAAUGCUUUCUAAGAUAACUUUUUUUGUAUUAUUGUUGAUGUACAGGUUGAGCUUUGGUUAUCUGGAGGGUUACUGUUUAUCACUCCCAGUUUUGGUGCUCAAGGAAAUUAGACAUUUUUUCUUUUUCUUUGGAGGGUAUACGUUCCUCAGUAAAGUUUUAAAGCUCAACUCAUUCUAAGUUUGUAUCACCUUUUUAUUUUAAUUAUAUUUUCUUUUCCCUACAGAAAAAGGCUCGAUCUGCAGUGUUGUUACAUUUCUCAAGUGGUUUCGCUUUGAACUCUUUUCUUUGGAAGAAAAUAUACUAUUCCUUGGGUAUGUUUUUAUGCGUAAGAAAUUGUAUAGAAUCCAGAUCUUUUAAAGUUGUGCAAGUUAAUGUGACAUACUGUAUUCGAAUUUGAGUUCUGUCUGAUUUGAAUGGAUGGUUUGUAAUGAUUCAAAUGUUCAAAUCAAUCUGUUUAUUUUGAGCUCAAAUUUAGUUACAUGCUUCGCUAACCAAGUUUGAGCUAGGCUUUGUUAACGAACCAUGCUGAAGCUUCAUUGCAAAUGUCACGUGGGCUCUGAAUCAAAAGUUAAACGAGCCUAGCUCAAACCCAACUCAACCCACAAAGAUGAGAGACUGCAGCGUGGACAGAGAUAUAUAUAUUAUCAACCUAAAUCAAUAGCACUGAAAUUCCAGCUAAGCAGUAGCAAGGCAUAUGAAAAUGCAGAAUUCCUAGCAUAUACACAUCAACUUCAGAAAAAUAGAAGCCUUAAUCAAAACAAGCAAAUAAACACCAGAUUUUCAGACAUGAUAUAUCAUGCCUACUUCGAUCAAGCUGAUGUGAGGAAUGUGCAGCGCCACCGAAGGACCCCUGCAGUUCUUCCGCAGAAACGAGUACCCGAAAUCCACCACCAGUUUCUUCAAGAACGACGACGACCGCCUCGCCUUCACGUACGAGUGCCCCAUUAUGUACGCCACACCGGCCUCCUUCGCCUCGAUCAAAUCCGUAAGCUCCUCCCUCACCGCCGGAUCCAUUGCCGGGCUCUGAGGCAGCUGAAACCGCACACGCCGCCUCCUGAUCUGCGGAUUCUCCUCGUCGUAAGCCGACCUUAAGCUCUGCAGAGUUAAAGAUUUGCUGCUCUGAAUGGAACUGAUGGUGUCAAAGUCAUCCUCAUUGGAUACAAUCAGAUUGGAGGAAGAACAUGCUUGGGAGCUUAUGACGGCCAUCCUCCCGUCGUAUGACACGGAAUCGGGCGUUGCGAACUGAGGCUCAACAGCUUCCAUUUGGAUGAACUCAGCUAUGCUCUGGAUGAGGAGGUUCUCAAAGUUGCCAUCGUCGCCCUGCAAGUCCUUGUAUCCGUACCUGACGAUGCAACGGUACAUCCGGUACGGUCUCGGGCAGAUACGGCCGAUGAGGAAGCGCUCC
rnacentral:lncRNA from 1 species